ACUCAAAUGAAUUGACGGGGACCCGCACAACCUGUGGAGCGUGUGGUUCAAUUCGAGACGAAACGAAGGACCUCACCAGGGUUUGACAUGCAAUCGUUUAUUUUCCUGGAAACAGGGAGAAAUCCGCAAGGAUGAUUGCACAGGUGCUGCAUGGCUGUCGUCAGCUCGUGCCGUGAGGUGUUCCCUUAAGUGGGGAAACGAGCGCAACCCCCAUCCAAUGUUAGAUUAUUCAUUGGAAACUGACUACGUUCAAACGUGGAAGGAAGGAGGGGAAGACGUCAAGUCAGCACGGCCCUUAUACCCUGGGCCACACACACACUACAAUGGCGAAAAACAACGAGCAGCAAGCCGGCAACGGCAAGCAAAUCUCUCAAAUUUCGCCUCAGUUCAGAUUGGAGUCUGAAACCCGACUCCAUGAAGCCGGAAUAGGUAGUAAUCGCGGAUCAGCAAUGCCGCGGUGAAUACGUUCUCGGGUCUUGCACACACCGCCCGU
rnacentral:rRNA from 1 species